rnacentral:rRNA from 1 species
GUUACCUUCGGGUAAUGAGGAUGGCGGACGGGUGAGUAACGCGUAAGGAACUUGCCUCUUGGUCUGGGACAACUGUUGGAAACGACAGCUAAUACCGGAUAUUAUGAGAUUCUCGCAUGGGAAACUUAUGAAAGCUAUAUGCGCCAAGAGAGAGCCUUGCGUUCCAUUAGCUAGUUGGUGGGGUAACGGCCCACCAAGGCGACGAUGGAUAGCCGGCCUGAGAGGGUGAACGGCCACAAGGGGACUGAGACACGGCCCUUACUCCUACGGGAGGCAGCAGUGGGGAAUAUUGGACAAUGGGCCACAAGCCUGAUCCAGCAAUUCUGUGUGCACGAUGAAGGUCUUCGGAUUGUAAAGUGCUUUCAGUUGGGAAGAAGAAAGUGACGGUACCAACAGAAGAAGCGACGGCUAAAUACGUACCAGCAGCCGCGGUAAUACGUAUGUCGCAAGCGUUAUCCGGAUUUAUUGGGCGUAAAGCGCGUCUAGGCGGAAAAAUAAGUCUGAUGUUAAAAUGCGGGGCUCAACUCCGUAUUGCGUUGGAAACUGUUUUUCUAGAGUACUGGAGAGGUGGGCGGAACUACAAGUGUAGAGGUGAAAUUCGUAGAUAUUUGUA